rnacentral:rRNA from 1 species
GACGAACCGUCCAAACGUUAUUCGGAAUCACUGGGCUUACAGAGUUCGUAGGCGGUCCAGAAAGUUGGGUGUGAAAUCCCCCGGCUUAACCGGGGAACUGCGUCUGAUACUGGAUGGCUUGAGUUUGGGAGAGGGAUGCGGAAUUCCAGGUGUAGCGGUGAUAUGCGUAGAUAUCUGGAGGAACACCGGUGGCGAAGGCGGCAUCCUGGACCAACACUGACGCUGAGUGAGCGAAAGCCAGGGGAGCAAACGGG